CUGGGAUUCCCAAUGAAGCCGGCCGGAGCUGUUCCGCUGCCCCUGGAGAGCAGAGCCGUCCCAAUGCUGGAUUCCAGAUGUGCCGACUUUAAAGCAAGACAAAUGCGUUAGGAGUCACAGUCCCCGCCCUUCCCUGGGAGGAAACGUUGGGGGCGGAGGUUCAGCUUGCCUGGUUUUCCCUAUCAAAGAGAGACUGCUGCGGCCCUAGAGGAACCCAGGAAUCUGUUCCAGACUCACUCAGGUUCAGCCCGAAUGUCCCCUGUAACUAACUGGACCCAGUGGACAGCGGAGCUGAGAGCGCCGCAUAACACUGAGAUAUUACGCAAGAACGAGGCACCUGGGUACACCCUUCUCUGAUGCAACUCUUGAUCCCUCCGUGCCUCAGACUUUACAUUCAUUACCUGAUGGCUGGUCCUCUCAGUGAAGCUGGUUCUUCAACGGUCCCAAACUGGGUAUAUAGGACCAGCUAAAUCUUGGGAGCCAGGAACUCCCAGUGUAUUUGUAUACAAUGAAAAGAUUCCACUGACUUUUAUCUAUGACCUUAAAGUUUGUUUAUAGAUAUUCAGCUUGCGGGGACCAGCUUUGUGAUUUCAUUGAUGUAUACAGAACUCCUCAAUGAGGAAAUUAGAGUCAAGUCAACAACGUAUAUUUAUGAAAUGAGCAGAAGAACACAGGGGAUCCCACAACUGCAUAUGAGUCUACACUAUAAAGUAGUCAAUACUGGUGGUAUUUUGGCUUAGCUCUCAUUCUACUCUUCUUCUGUAACAUUUAAAUUUUAGUCUCUAGUAAUAAAAGUAUUAUAUCUUA